rnacentral:ncRNA from 1 species
AUCCCGUGGAUCGAAAAGAAUGGUCGCCUCGCGCGAACGAUCGUUUGUGCGGCAUGCACUUCUUUGAAUUCAGGUGCGGCUUCCAUUUCAAUCUCCGUCCCAAGGCUUGCUUAUGUGCAGGGAAACCGUCGUCCGAUCGAGACCACCCGGACUUUGUUCCAACGGUGUUCACGCAGAAAGCACCGGCCAAGCGCUCGUGGGAGGUGAUCGCUAUGCCCGUGCUACUAAGCAAAAGGCUCUAGCUUAUUAAAUAGGUGCGUGGUUCUCUGCACCUUGCGCCCUCUUAGAGGGACAAAGCGGCUCCUAGCCGCACGAAACAGAGCAAUAACAGGCCUGUGAUGCUCUUAGAUGACGGGGGCCGCACGCGCGCUACAAUGAAGGAAUCAGUGUUUUUAUCCCUGUCUGUAAAGACUGGGUAAUCCGUGGAAUGCAGAGUCUCGGCCAACAUCUGGAUUUUUUGUGCAUAUAAUGUAAAAAGAAAGAAUGGC